rnacentral:misc_RNA from 1 species
UCUCCGUUGGUGAACCAGCGGAGGGAUCAUUACCGAGUUGCAAAACUCCCACACCCAACUGUCUACCUAUACGGAAAAAAAACGUUUGCUUCGGCGGGCGGCCCCAGGGCGGGGCCGACGCCUGCGCUUCGGCGCGGCGCCCGCCGGAGGAAACACCACAAACUCUUGAUGUUUUAGUAACACUCUGAGCCUAAAAGACAAUAGUCAAAACUUUCAACAACGGAUCUCUUGGUUCUG